rnacentral:rRNA from 1 species
GAUGAACGCUAGCGGCAGGCUUAACACAUGCAAGUCGAGGGGCAGCACGAUGUAGCAAUACAUUGGUGGCGACCGGCGCACGGGUGCGUAACACGUAUGGAAUCUGCCCUGUACUGGAGGAUAGCCCGGAGAAAUCCGGAUUAAUACUCCAUAAUCGUCGAGGUGGCAUCACCUUGACCUGAAAGCUCCGGCGGUACAGGAUGACCAUGCCGCCCGAUUAGCUAGUUGGUGAGGUAACGGCUCACCAAGGCUACGAUCGGGUAGGGGGCCUGAGAGGGUUACUCCCCCACACUGGUACUGAGACACGGACCAGACUCCUACGGGAGGCAGCAGUGAAGGAAUAUUGCGCAAUGGAGGCAACUCU